GGUUGAAAAUUUAACUCAAAAUCGAGCUCCAAAAUUCCCCCCUCGUUUUCUAUCUACCGCUCCCAAAUUUUCACCAAAUUUUUUCGCUCCCUCUUACUUUUCGCUCCAAAUCACUUAAAGUUUUCGAAUCUUAAUUCCCCUUGAAUCUGUUCUAUAACAAAGGCCUCCAACAGAGAAUGAUUUUUACUCUCUCUGAUGAGUAGGGGUUCCUUCUGCAUCUCUCUCAGAUUCUUCCUCUCCUAUCUAUUCACAGCUACUCGCAUCUUCUCUUUCUGCUAGAGAUUGUUUAUUUGCCAAGGUUUCUUGGAUUGAGUUUGCUGGUUUUCAGAACUGGUGAUAGGUUUCUUAGUUUGCUAGUAAGGGGUGAUAUCUCUGUCAUAUGUUCAUUCAGAUGUACAUUGUUGUUGUUUUGUAAUUUUUUUGCGUUGAUCCUCAUGUUAUCUAUCAGAGGUUUCUUAUUCGUCUUGUCUAUUGUUGUAUUGCAGAUGGAAACAAUUGCAAUAUCUAACAGUACGCCUAACUAUAUUAACUUAUCAGACAACCAACACUUGGGUAAACGUUGUUUCUAUCCGUAGUUUAGUUGGCUUACCUUAAUGGCUAUAUUAUAAUGUGAAAACUUGCUAGCCACAAAUUAUAUUAAGGGAGUGUAGGAGUACACGUUUUGCAACUUAAUUAAGAGAAGGAUGAAGUUGGCAAAUUAUGUCGUUACUUAUUCAGUUGUUGGAUUAUUACACUUAAGACUGAAGUUUCAUGAUCAAGUCUCCCUCCAUUAUAUGGCGGAAGCAUAUAACAAAUAAUUACUGCCUCAAUCUUGUUUGUCGUUUCCCAUUUUUGGAAGAAUCUUCCACAUGAUGCGUACAAACUUCUUGCAGUGCCCUCUGAAAUUGGUGGAGUUCUUGUAAUUAGUGCAAAUUCCAUACACUAUCACAGUCAAAUAAGUUGUUACCUGGUUUGCUGGAGUUCAUUGAUUGUUUUGUUAGUGGCUGCAAGAAGUUUUACUUUGCCAGACCUACAUGUAUUUGUACAUGUCAGAUCAAUAUGUAAUUGUUUUACAUUUUUUUUUCCUGCUUGUAGUUGACGUCUUGUGCCAUUGCCUUGAACCAUUUUGUUGUUCCUGCUGAUAUAAGUCAAUAAUUGCCUUGAUCAAGUUUUUGUGUGGAGCUUGAUGCAACCAACACGACAUGGUUAUUGCCUGAGGUGGCCAUGUUUUCGAUCAAAACAGGAGAACUACUAUUGCUCACAUUGGUUUCCGUUGGACGGAUUCUGCAAAGGCUGGAACUUUCAAAAUUUUGAGCUUCAGUUUUGACUCCGGGUAUUGCAACAAUUGGCAGCUCGUUCUUCUUCCUAGGUUGUCGUUUGGGAGAUCGUAUGCUUGUCCAAUAUACAUCUGGUGUGGGAACUGCAGCUUUGACUUCUGAUCAUGUGAAGGAAGAGGAUUAUAUUGAGAAAACAUGGGAGAGACAGUUUUAUCAUGAAGACACGCACUACAGCACAUAAGUGAUGAUAAUGGCGAAAGACUUGGCAGAAUUUAUGUUCAUAAGCGAUGAAGUUGCUGGAAGAUAAGAACGAGGCAGAAAAGCGAAGCCUUAAAGCAAAGUUGGAUGCGAAAAGACAAGAACUAGCACUGGAGAUUGCGUGAUUCAAGAAAUUAUAGAUGCAAGUGCCAUGUUGUGCGAUAGAGGUGAUGUACAUGGAGAUGUUUCAAGAGGUGAGAUGAUUAAGUGGCCAAAAGCUUAUGUAACUCUUGUAGAAGAGUGACCAAAUCCGUGUUGGUGAAGUGAUGGUAGAUUGAAUUCAGUUUUAGCUAGAAUUUAUCUUGCAAUUUGCAUUCGGAGAUUUGAUUUCUAGAAUGUUAU